CGUGUAGCCGGGAAGGCAAGUCAGAUGUGAAAUCCACGGGCUUAACUCGUGAACUGCAUUUGAAACUGUUUUUUCUUUGAGUAUCGGAGAGGCAAUCGGAAUUCCUAGUGUAGCGGUGAAAUGCGUAGAUAUUAGGAGGAACACCAGUGGCGAAGGCGGAUUGCUGGACGACAACUGACGGUGAGGCGCGAAGCGUGGGGAGCAAACA
rnacentral:rRNA from 1 species